rnacentral:rRNA from 1 species
UUAAAGUAGUAAGGGCGCAGGGUGGAUGCCUUGGCACUAAGAGCCGAUGAAAGACGUGAUAAGCUGCGAAAAGCUUCGGGGAGGAGCACAUAUCCAAUGAUCCGGAGAUAUCUGAAUGGGGAAACCCGGCAGAGGAAACCUCUGUCAGCGUGCAGUGAAUACAUAGCUGUACGUGGGGAACCCGGGGAACUGAAACAUCUAAGUACCCGGAGGAAGAGAAAGAAAAUUUAUCGAUUUCCAAAGUAGCGGCGAGCGAAAUGGAAAGAGCCCAAACCGUGAUGCGUGCAUCGCGGGGUUCGGACUGCGUUGUGGCAGACGUAAGAUAGGAGAACGGACUGGGAAGUCCGGCCGGAGAGAGUGAAAGCCUCGUAUCCGAAAUCCCAAGUCGCCUAGCAGGAUCCAGAGUAGGACGAGACACGAGAAACCUUGUCUGAACGAGCGGGGACCACCCCGUAAGGCUAAAUACUUCUUAGUGACCGAUAGCGCAUAGUACUGUGAAGGAAAGGUGAAAAGUACCCCGGGAGGGGAGUGAAAGAGAACCUGAAACCCUGUGUCUACAAGCUGUGGGACCUCUUUAUAUGAGGGACUGCGUACUUUUUGUAGAACGGUCCGGCGAGUUGUGCGUACUGGCGAGGUUAAGGACUUAAGGUCUGGAGCCGAAGUGAAAGCAAGCGUUAAUAGCGCGUCAAGUCAGUGAGUGCAGACCCGAAACCGGGUGACCUAUCCAUGUCCAGGUUGAAGCUUCCGUAAGAGGAAGUGGAGGACCGAACCCACAUCCGUUGAAAAGGGUGGGGAUGAGGUGUGGAUAGCGGAGAAAUUCCAAUCGAACCCGGAGAUAGCUGGUUCUCCUCGAAAUAGCUUUAGGGCUAGCCUCAUGAGAGUCUUAUGGAGGUAGAGCACUGAAUUGCCUAGGGGGCGUCAAAGCUUACCAAAGCAUAUCAAACUCCGAAUGCCAUCAAGAUGAUUCAUGGGAGUCAGACCAUACGAGAUAAGUUGGAUGGUCAAAAGGGAAAGAGCCCAGACCUACAGCUAAGGUCCCAAAGUACGUGUUAAGUGGAAAAGGAUGUGGGGAUUCUAAGACAACUAGGACGUUGGCUUAGAAGCAGCCAUUCAUUGAAAGAGUGCGUAAUAGCUCACUAGUCGAGAGUCCCUGCGCCGAAAAUGUCCGGGGCUGAAACACGACACCGAAGCUUAGGAAUGUGUAAACAUUGGUAGAGGAGCAUUGCUAGCGGGAUGAAGCCAUACCGUAAGGAGUGGUGGACUGCUAGGAAGAGAGAAUGCCGGAAUGAGUAGCGAGAUGAAGGUGAGAAUCCUUCAGGCCGAAUAUCUAAGGUUUCCAGAGUAAAGCUGAUCUGCUCUGGGUAAGUCGGGACCUAAGGCGAGGUCGAAAGACGUAGUCGAUGGAUAACAGGUUGAAAUUCCUGUACCGCAUAUAAACAGAACUGUGGGGACACAGACAGGGAAUGGAAUCCGGGAAUGGAUAUCCCGGUGCAAGCGAGGUAGGAGUGCUGUUGGCAAAUCCGCAGCACGAUCUGAAGACGUGACGCGUACCGAACAUAAGUAGGGAAGUCCAGGCCCCUGGCUGUCAAGAAAAGCCGCUAUCGUUUUAUAUGUGCCCGUACCGCAAACCGACACAGGUGGAUGAGGAGAGAAUCCUAAGGCCGACGGGAGAAGUAUUGUUAAGGAACUCGGCAAAAUGACUCCGUAACUUCGGGAGAAGGAGUGCCAUGAGAGUGGCCGCAGAGAAAUGGCCCAAGCAACUGUUUAGCAAAAACACAGGUCUAUGCAAAACCGCAAGGUGAAGUAUAUGGGCUGACGCCUGCCCGGUGCUGGAAGGUUAAGGGGAGAGGUUAGCGCAAGCGAAGCUUUGAACUUAAGCCCCAGUAAACGGCGGCCGUAACUAUAACGGUCCUAAGGUAGCGAAAUUCCUUGUCGGGUAAGUUCC